UACGUAGGGUGCAGGCGUUAAUCGGAAUUACUGGGCGUAAAGCGUGCGCAGGCGGCUCCUUAAGUCAGAUGUGAAAGCCCCGGGCUUAACCUGGGAACUGCGUUUGAAACUGGGGGGCUAGAGUGUGGAAGAGGGGGGUGGAAUUCCAGGUGUAGCAGUGAAAUGCGUAGAGAUCUGGAGGAACACCGAUGGCGAAGGCAGCCCCCCGGGCUAACACUGACGCUCAUGCACGAAAGCGUGGGGAGCAAACAGG
rnacentral:rRNA from 1 species